AAAAAUAUUCGUAGACCUAUCAAUUCCUUUUUUGCUUUAUUUUGUUGUUGGAAGGUAUCCAAAACGAGUUUUGUUAACUGGAUUUCUACUUGCCUUUUGGACUGGUUACUGCUUUGUGGUGGUAUACAGUUAUUACAAGGAAGAUACAGGUGUUCCUGAAAGAACGUCAAACUCACCCCGGACCUGAUUCGGAUUUUGAAAUAGACAUAUAUUAGACAUCUUUUAGACAUCACCAAGAUACGAAAACGAUAUGUUUAAGAUCUAACCUAUCAAAUUUGACAUUUGCGCGAUUCUGGAGAUACUGUUGAACGAUUUCCACAGGAUAUGACUUAGAGAUCCAAUUCACAUCUAAUAGAUAUUAUUUAUCUUACUCUAUCUAACGUAAAAGUGACAUUGGUUGCCCGAAUUGCGCUGCAAAAGAGAACUAGUUGAUAUCUAAGCUAUCUAGAAUGGAUCUAGUACGUGUCGUCUCUUGUGAAUAUCUUGAAGUUCGAAUACGGCAGCCCGACGCUAAAUCAAACAUAGGCAAAUCCACGGUAUGACAAUUGUAUGUGAUUUUAGUUACCGUUUCAUGGAUAAUUCAUGCUACACACUUACAUAAUCGCUAGCAUUAUUUUCCUGUGUUACAGGAUUAGUAAGAACCAAGUGUGGGCUAAACGAGUAUAUGCGAUGAUGCUAUUUAUGAAAAUAUUUACGGAUAUUACGCUUGUAGUUGUUGAUAGACUAAUACACGGAUUCAAAUACGAGCCCGCUCCUGAAAUAACGGAUGAUCUCUAUCUACUAUCUAUUAUAUCUUCUAUCAGUGCACUAGUUAUCGGAAUCCUUUUCAAUAUUUGCUUCUUCGUGGUGGUUUACAGUUAUUACAAGGAAGCUCCAGAGCUUCCACCAGCCACCCAGCCAGCGAGAGCAACAGUGGCCACUGACUAAAAUUACAAAGUAUCACCCUAUCAGCAUAUCAAACUGCUUCGCCAAGGUAUGGCCAUCUCGCUGGUCCAGCGCUGGGCCAUCUUGUAGAGGAGUCCUCAGUGCCGAGAUAUGCUAGGGUAUGACGCGGCAAACGUCACGCGUUCUCAGGCGUACAUCAGGAAGCCUUGCGAUACUAUGCCGAUAGUGGACGCGGGGCCCUAACGCCCACAAUGGGUCAACUACCAACCACACGUUAAUGUAACGUGGUAAAAAGACGACAGACUUUUCUUUAUAUUUCUCCAUUUU